GCCCGGAGAUGGAUUCUGAGACACGAAUCCAGGCCCUACGGGGUGCAGCAGGCGCGAACACUUUACAAUGCGGGAAACCGCGAUAAGGGAACCCCGAGUGCCAGCAUCAAAUGUUGGCUGUCCAGAUGAUUAAAAAUCAUUUGUUAGCAAGGGCCGGGCAAGACCGGUGCCAGCCGCCGCGGUAACACCGGCGGCCCGAGUGGUAGCCGUUUUUAUUGGGUCUAAAGGGUCCGUAGCCGGCCUGAUAAGUCCUUUGGGAAAUCUGGCAGCUUAACUGUCAGGCUUCUAAGGGAUACUGUCAGGCUUGGGACCGGAAGAGGUAAGGGGUACUCCAGGGGUAGGAGUGAAAUCUUGUAAUNCCCUGGGGGACCAUCUGUGGCGAAGGCGCCUUACCAGAACGGGUCCGACGGUGAGGGACGAAAGCUAGGGGAGCAAACCGGAUUAGAUACCCGGGUAGUCCUAGCUGUAAACGAUGCUCGCUAGGUGUCAGACACGGUGCGACCGUGUUUGGUGCCGNCAGGGAAGCCGUUAAGCGAGCCACCUGGGAAGUACGGUCGAGGCUGAAACUUAAAGGAAUUGGCGGGGGAGCAC
rnacentral:rRNA from 1 species